AGGAGGAAGAGGAGGAGGAGGAGGAAGAUGAUAAUGUCAGUGAAACCUUGUCUGGCAUGGAGGAGCUGGGGAGGGGACUCCACAGCCCAGCAGAAUUAAUACCUCUUGUGCCCCCAUCGAGCUCUCCUUCAGCACAGCUACUGUGCUACCGCCUGGGGCCACCCCCGGACAGCUGGACGGUGCUGGGAGGGGCUGCAGACUCCCCCAGCACUGGCACCAGGACUGCUGGCCCCAAGACUCCCCUGGGCUAAGCCAAAUCUCUGCAACAACGGACCAGCCACUCAGGAUUCACCCUGUGCCUGCACCUGGGCCAGCCAGUGCCUGCCGCUGCCCUGGCACUGCCCUGCUGGCACGGGGGCUGCUGGCACUGCUGCCAUGGAGUGCACAGGCUGCAGCACCUGCUCCUUGCCAUGUGCCGCCUGCAUGAACCGCCUCGAGCUGCAGCUGCUCCUCGCUCUGCUCACUGCCAGGCCAUGCAGGGCCACCCUGCGUGCUCUGAGCCUGCCUCAUGCAGGCAGCGUACACCCUCAGGGAGCAACAGCUCUUGGCCUGGAGCAGUGCGUGAUGAAGGCCUUUCCCCUGCA